rnacentral:snRNA from 1 species
AUACUUACCUGGCAGGGGAGAUACCAUGAUCACGAAGGUGGUUUUCCCAGGGUGAGGCUCGUCCAUUGCACUCCGGCUGUGCUGACCCCUGCGAUUUCCCCAAAUGCGGGAAACUCGACUGCAUAAUUUGUGGUAGUGGGGGACUGCGUUC